rnacentral:lncRNA from 1 species
UACUCCCUGCAAAUUAAUUCAACUUUCUCAUCACCACAUCUUGAGAUAGCACUGACCCAGGUGGAGGUGGGCCCGCACCUGGAGAGGUCAGGGAAGGGAGACCGUGAAGAAGCUAACAUCCGGGCCUGUGGCUGGUGUGGGAGUGGACGAUGUUCCCAUGGGUCCGCCUCAGUUGGGGUCUGUACAGGGGUCUGGGAGAGAGUAGGAGUCUUGCCCCUGGCUACCCACAAACCCCUCCCUCCACGGGCGCCCACAGGGUAGUGCCUGAGUGUGCGUGUUGGGGAGUCGGAUGUGCCCUCUAGAUUAGAUGAGGACUGUUCAUGGGUGCGGCCACCCGGAGCCGCUGGGAGCGGGACAGAAGGUGGU